CGGGUUGUGGCGCAGCUUGGUAGCGCGCUGCUUUCGGGAAGCAGAGGCCGUCGGUUCGAAUCCGGCCAACCCGAC
rnacentral:tRNA from 1 species